rnacentral:rRNA from 2 species
GGUACAUGGUAGGAGAGCGUUCUAAGGACGGCGAAGCUAGACCGUAAGGACUGGUGGAGUGCUUAGAAGUGAGAAUGCCGGUAUGAGUAGCGAAAGAUCAGUGAGAAUCUGGUCCACCGUAUGACUAAGGUUUCCUGGGGAAGGCUCGUCCUCCCAGGGUUAGUCGGGACCUAAGCCGAGGCCGAGAGGCGUAGGCGAUGGAUAACAGGUUGAGAUUCCUGUACUGGUUAAACUUGUUUGAACAAUGGAGGGACGCAGGAGGCUAUCGAUGCGUACUGUUGGAUAUGUACGUUCAAGCAACAAGUCUGUAGAUGAGUCAAAUGCUUAUCUACUUAAGGACAAGUUGUGAUGAGGAGCGAAAUUU